AGCCUUGCAGUGAAAGACACGUCAGAUUGCAAAUCUGGAGAUGCAGGUUUAUAUCCUGCCCGGGCUU
rnacentral:tRNA from 1 species